rnacentral:lncRNA from 10 species
AUCACAGACUCCGAGACGCUCGAAGCAGCAUAUUUGUCAUUACUCAGAACUCGUGGGAAGCGCUGAAGACGUUGAUGAAGUGCCACUCCCCAGCCCCUGACAUGUAAUUUUACGGGUUCAUUUUUAUAGUAAUAUGCAUGCAAAGUAAAGUAAAAUUUCCUGAGCAAAGGACAUCAGAAUCAGUUUCAUGAAGAUGAACCUGUGGCCAGAAAAUGAAGACCUUUCCUGAAUUCAGAGAACCAACUUUGCACCCACAAGAGAGAAAAAGGCAAAUAAAUAAUAUUAUAUUUUGGAAGAGUCUUACAAAAUGAUUCAUAAUUAAUUUGCAGUAUACUAUUCUAAAAUUCUUUUGUAAGAGAUUAAAGAAAUAUGUACACAUUAGAAAACUAUAAUUAGUACUCCUAAUGGAAAUCAAUUUUCAUUUACAAAAUAGCUUUAAAAAUUUACAAAUACAAUGUUAAUUCACUCCUGCUUGCCCAACAAGGGGAGUUCUUGAUGGAGUGAAAAAGAGCCUAAAUCUUGAGCACUUACUGGGUACAGGGCACUGUCAUGUGUGUUUCACGUGUAUUGCCGAAUGUGAUACUUACAAAAACCAUAUCAGGUGGGUGUGGUAAUUAUCAUGAUGCCCAUUUUGCAAAUGAAGAAGCUGAGCCACUGAAAUGUUCAACAAAUGUGCCUCCAGGAUACACAGGUUGAUUUUCCGUUUCAGGAUUUGGACUCAUAUACUGGCCCCAAUGUCUGCUAUGUUCUCUUUUGGUAAACAUGCAGGAAAUGGAAUGAAAUAUGUUGUCUUUAGUAUAACAGAAUCUUUAAUUUGUAGCUCUAUUUGAACUUUCUUAGCUGAAGUGUCCUCAACAAAGUCAUAUAUGUAGUCACUAAUCACUAUGAAAAUGACAAUAUAAGAAGUAAAAUUAUAUGUAUACCAUUCAAAGAGAUCUGAAAAUUGAAUUAACUGAGCAUUUUUGUAGCAUGAAUCUUUGAUUAGAAAAUAUUGGAGCCCAUUUGCAACAUUUUAGGUUGCUACAUAUAAUGUUUUAUAUGAAAUAAUAUAAUCAACUUAUUUAUAGAAGUGUAGAUGAUUUUAGUUCUUUUCCUAUCAUUAUUCAGACAGAGUUUGAUAGCUUAGCAGACUCGUGUUGUAUGUGUAUAUGUUAGGGAGGACAGGUUUGCAAUUGAAGCUGAUUGUUUGCCCAAACACCAUCUGGCCUACCCAUUUAUAAUAUGUCAAAUGAGACUGCCCAAGGUAUGAGAAAAAUCUUAAUUUCACAUUUAUUCAGGUCAUAUUGGCCACAGCUCAAACUGCACUAUUAUAUUGUUUGCAUUUUCAUCACCACCCGGUUUUUUUUUUAAUUUUUUUCUGAAUUCUCUUGAAUGCUUUACUGAUUUUCACUACCUUCCUUUUAAUUAUUUCAGAAACCUACUAUUAAAGAUUUUCACUCACUGUUGAUCAUAACGUUAAUCAUCUUGUUACAAUAUAGACUAUUAUAAGCUUUAGUAAAAUAACUUAAAUAUUUUAAAACCCAAAUAUCUUUGGAUGGACUUUGUGUAUAUUAAAUUCUUGUCUAUUAUAGCAAAGUUUCAAUAUGCAUAAACAUAUACAUAUAAGUAAAUAUUUUAUAAUGUAUCACUGGCUCUUGUAAAGAUAGUUAUUCAUGCUCAAUAUCAACAUUUUGAAAAAUGUAGCUAUUAAUAAAUAUUUAUGCACAAACUUAGAUUUUUAACUGAAAGUUAAUGGCUAGGAUUUUUAAGUAACUGUCCAAAUAAUUAAAUAGAAGGAAUAAAAUAAACAUUUCACUUUGCAUUAGACACUUCUGCUAGAACAUGUUUUAUAAGAAUUAAAUGUUGAGGAAUUUUAAAAACUACAUUAGAUUUUAAAUCACCUUAAUAGUCCUACACUGAUUUCUACUGUUUUAGUUGGAAGAAUGAUCAGAAAUAGUAUCCAGGGGAAAUGUAUUUUGUAAAAAUACUGUAGUUUAAUAAUAUGAUAAGAAGGCAACUUCUGAGUAUAUCCUCUGAUUAAUUCAAUGCCAAAAUAUAUGGGGAAGAUAGUUUUCAAUGUAAAUACUGAUUCCUGUUUAGAAAAUAAAAACAGCAUAUUAUUAAU